rnacentral:lncRNA from 10 species
AGCCCUGACCCCCCAUGCCACCUCCUCCCUCAGGGCCCCCAGAGAUAGUCCAGACCCAGUCGACUUUGUUACCCCUGAAGGGGAGCUUCCCUCUGGCCUUUUGUCCCCACCCAGAGCCAGGAGUGGGGAGCAGCGGGCAGUCCCAACCUGCCCAGCCCCAGCCCCAGCCCCAUUGCAGUGCACCGGCCCUGCCCCACAGGAGGCCACAUCCUCCCAGGUCGCAGCCUCGGUUCCCUGUCCAAAGGAAGAACUACUUGGAUUCAGAGAAAGGGUUGCAGAGCCCUUGACAGCUGACAAACCCACCACUAGCACUACUCCCGGGAUUUGGUGUUCACUACGUGUGUAUUUUUCAAUACACAUAUUACCCCUUUAGAUAAAGCCCAAUUCAUCCACACCUACUCUCCCAAAGGCCCCCACAGGGGCUCAAUCAUUGAAGGCGCUUGCUGGUGAGGGGCUCCUAGGGCCCACCACUCUCCUCAGCCGUCACCCUCACCCAGGCCCCACAGCAGUCCCCGUACCAUUGCUGAAGGCCACCACGAGCCAGACGGUAUCGCUGGCGCUGGCAAGCCCAUCGAAGACACAGCGCGGCUGCUCCAGGGAGAAGGUGGUGGCUGUGACCUUCCCUUCCAGGUCCCAAGCUGUUAUCUGUGGUGUGUAGGGCACCAGCUCUGUGGCCACGGGGGACAAAAGGCUCAGGCUGGGCCGGAGACAGUUCAACGCCAGGAGGAGCAUCUGCAGCCCUAGGUGAGGCUGCCCCCAGGGUAGCCCCAUGACAGCUGCCAGCACCCGGGAGGCUCAGGGGCUGGUCUGGCUGCUUCGGGCUGCACCUCACCCCCAACAGCUUGGCCCUGGAGAAGCUGGUUAAUCAGGCUGCCCCAGGGGCUGGAAAGACCUGCAAAUGAAGAAGAACUUGGAUUCAGAGAAAGGGCUGCAGAGCCCUUGACAGCUGACAAGCCCGCCACUUAAACACUACUCCCGGGAUUUGGCGCUCACUAUGUGUGUAUUUUUCAAGACAUAACUCACAUACCUUCACAACCUUCACAGCUCAGUGGCUUAAAUAUAUAUAUGUCACCCAGGGAGGUCAGUUCACAGCUAACUGGAGCCUCAAACUCCCAGGUUCAGUUAAUCCUCCCACCUCAGCCUUCCCAGUAGCUGGAACCACAGGCACACAACACCAUGCUCCGGCUAAUUUUUAAAAUUUAUUUAAUUAAUUUUUUUUUAAGAUGGAGUCUCCUUUGUUGUCCAGGCUGGAGUGCAGUGGCGUGAUCUGGGCUCACUGCAACCUCCGCCUCCUGGGUUCAAGCGAUUCUCCUGCCUCAGCCUCCCAAGUAGCUGGGAUUACAGGCAUGUGCCCCACGGCCAGCUAAUUUUUGUAUUUUUAGUAGGGACGGGGUUUCACCAUGUUGGCUUGGCUGGUCUCAAAUUCCUGAUCUCAAGUGAUCCACCCGCCUUGGCCUCCCAAAGUGCUGGGAUUACAGGCAUGUGCCACCGUGCCUGGCACCCCCGCCAAUUUUUUUUUUGUUUUUUUUGAAACGGAGUUUUCACUCUUGUUGCCCAGGCUGGAGUACAAUGGCUCGAUCUUGGCUCACCGCAACCUCCACCUCCUGGGUUCAAGUGAUUCUCCUGCCUCAGCCUCCUGAGUAGCUGGGAUUACAGGCAUGUGCCACCACACCUGUCUAAUUUUGUAUUUUUAGUAGAGAUAGGGUUUCUCCACGUUGGUGAGGCUGGUCUCGAACUCCUGACCUCAGGUGAUCCACCCACCUCAGCCUCCCAAAGCGCUGGGAUUGCAGGUGUGAGCCACUGCGCCCGGCUGGCCAAUUUUUAAAAAUGUAUUUUUUAUAGAAACAGGAUCUUGCUAUGUUGCCCAGGCUGAUCUCUAACUCCUGGGAGGAUCAAGCAAAUCUCCUGCCUUGGCCUCCUAAAGUAUUGGGAUUACAGGCGUGAGCCACCGUGCCUGGCUAUUUUUUUUUUUUUUUGAGACAUGGAGUCUCACCCUGUCGCCCAGGCGGAGGUUGCAGUGAGCUGAGAUCGCACCACCGCACUACAGCGUGGAUGACAGAGUGAGACUCUGUCUCAAAAAAAAUAUAAUAAAAAUAUAUUUCUUGUAGAGACAGGGUCUCACUGUGUUGCCCAGCCUGGUCUUGAACUCCUGGCUCAAGGGAUCCUCCUGCCUCAGCCUCCCAAAGUGCCCAGAUUACAGGCAUGAGCCACAGCGCCCAACAGCUUUUAGUAUAUCAACAAGGUUGUGCAACCAUCACCAAUUCCAGAACCUUCUUACUUCCCCAAAACGAAACACUACACCCAUUAAACGGUAACUCUCCAUUCUCCCGUCCCCAGUGACGACUAAGCUACUUCUUGUUUCCAUGGUUUUGCCCGUAAUGGACAUUUCAUAGGAUGCAGUCACACAACAUGUGACCUUUUGUGUCUGGCUUUUGUUACUUUUUCAAGGUUCCUCCUCGACUGUGAUUGCUUCAUUCCUUUUCACAGUUGAGUAA